rnacentral:rRNA from 1 species
UAAACCGACACAGGUGGAUGAGGAGAGAAUCCUAAGGCCGACGGGAGAAGCAUUGUUAAGGAACUCGGCAAAAUGACUCCGUAACUUCGGGAGAAGGAGUGCCAGCGAGAGCUGGCCGCAGAGAAUUGGCCCAAGCAACUGUUUAGCAAAAACACAGGUCUAUGCAAAACCGUAAGGUGAAGUAUAUGGGCUGACGCCUGCCCGGUGCUGGAAGGUUAAGAGGAGAGGUUAGCGGCAACGCGAAGCUUUGAAUUUAAGCCCCAGUAAACGGCGGCCGUAACUAUAACGGUCCUAAGGUAGCGAAAUUCCUUGUCGGGUAAGUUCCGACCCGCACGAAAGGCGUAAUGAUUUGGGCACUGUCUCAACAAUGCACCCGGUGGAAUUGAAAUACCAGUGAAGAUGCUGGUUACCUGCGCCAGGACGGAAAGACCCCAUGGAGCUUUACUCCAGCUUGAUACUGGGAUUCGGUAUUGCAUGUACAGGAUAGGUGGGAGGCUAGGAAGUGAUAACGCCAGUUGUCACGGAGCCGCUGUUGGGAUACCACCCUUGCAGUAUUGGAUUUCUAACCAGCGACCAUGAACUGGUCGGGGGACAAUGUCAGGUGGGGGGUUUGACUGGGGCGGUCGCCUCCGAAAGGGUAUCGGAGGCGCUCAAAGGUUCCCUCAGAAUGGACGGAAACCAUUCGAAGAGUGCAAAGGCAGAAGGGAGCUUGACUGCGACACCGACGGGUGGAGCAGGUACGAAAGUAGGACUUAGUGAUCCGGUGGUAUAAAGUGGGAUUGCCAUCGCUCAACGGAUAAAAGCUACCCUGGGAUAACAGGCUUAUCACUCCCAAGAGUUCACAUCGACGGAGUGGUUUGGCACCUCGAUGUCGGCUCAUCGCAUCCUGGGGCUGAAGUAGGUCCCAAGGGUUGGGCUGUUCGCCCAUUAAAGCGGUACGCGAGCUGGGUUCAGAACGUCGUGAGACAGUUCGGUCCCUAUCCGGCGUGGGCGUAGGAUAUUUGAGAGGAGCUGUCCUUAGUACGAGAGGACCGGGAUGGACUGGCCGCUGGUGUAUCUGUUGCAUACCAAAUGCAUGGCAGAGUAGCCAAGCCGGGACGGGAUAAACGCUGAAGGCAUCUAAGCGUGAAGCCCCCCUCAAGAUGAGAUAUCCCUACGUAAGUAGUAAGACCCCUUGAAGACGACGAGGUAGAUAGGUCAGAGGUGGAAGUACAGUAAUGUAUGGAGCUGACUGAUACUAAUCGGUCGAGGGCAUGACCU